rnacentral:pre_miRNA from 1 species
CAACUACUCCCUCUAUCCCAAAUUUCUUGUCUUAGAUUUGUCUAGAUACAGAUGUAUCUAAUACUAAAAUGUGACUUGAUACAUCCGUAUCUAGACAAAUCUAAGACAAGAAUUUUGGGAUGGAGGGAGUACUUU